UGAUAAUAAGAGAGCUAAGUGAAAGCUUAUAUGAAAAGAGGUUUUCCAAUUAUUUAAUAAACUUUUAUGUGUUUCCAUAUUUGAGCAUGUUUUUCAUGUAUUCAUAAACCAGCAUUAUUGAAUCAUCCCCACUUUGGUUCUUGUUGUGAGUGAUCUCAGUCAGUAGUUCUUUGUAGUGAAUAUCUUUAAGAAAGUGACAAACCAUUCCCUUACAUGACUGUCUGAGAGAAUGGGAAAGCUGUUAUCAACUACUCCAUCAAGGUGAUUAAUUUAAACAACUGAACAAAUUUAAUAUGAAAGAAUGACAAGAAAGCCACAGUGGGUGCUAUUCAAAGCAGCCAGCUACCUAUUGGAGCUAUUGGAGCAACCUGUCCAGAUCCAGGACUUUACCUUAAAGCUCUCCCACAACAUCCUUACAAUCAGGAUCCAGCCCUAAACUGAGAAAGGGGCUUGGUCCUGACUUGUUGGGCAAUUGGCAUGUAAAUAAUAAAUUGAAAUGCUCAGAAGUUUGAAUUUUUGUU
rnacentral:lncRNA from 1 species